UUUGUUAUCUUAGUUAAGUUCAAUUUCUAAAUUUUAGUUAACUUAAAUUAAGCUCAAUUUUUAUUUUUGGUUCAGUUCAAUAAAAGAGUAAAUGGAGGUUCAGAUAUGGCACCGAGAUAGGUUCAAAAAAAUGGGGGCAACAACAACGGCAGUAACAACGUCGAAGAGCUGGAGAUGAGCAAGUUAGCGCCUCGUGGUGGAAUCCAAGGGAGGGCCAAGCCGUUCACAGCCGCCACCCCCUCAGUCCAUUCACCACCGCCAACCAAGGCCGUUCAACGAGGGGUAGUUCAAAAGCAGCGCAAAUGUUUUCCAUCGAGAUCUGAAGCCCAAGAAUAUUCUAGCGAAUGUUGAUUGCAAGCUGAAGAUUUGUGAUUUUGGACUUGCCAUUGUAUCAUUUAAUGACGGGGCUCCAUCAGCCAUAUUCCGAAGUUUGAUUUGGUGAAGAAGUAUGCAAAUUCUCAGUGCAGGUGUGGAGAACCAAAAAGUUCUAAUAAUGGCGAAUCACAAGUUCAAGGACAGUAAUCCGGGGGCGUGGGGGCAACUGCUGAUGGAGGCCGAGUCAAAGUGUCGUGACUACUGCUGCAGAUCUUCAGCACGGACUUUGAUGGAGAUACUCCUCUGGUGAGUCCUACUUCCACAAAGAUAGGAGUGAUAAUUGAUGGGACACGGCCAGAUGCUGAUGCUGGACUAGCAAAUUUAGCGAAAAACUAUUUUGUGCUGAAAGAACAACUAUGCUUUGUCGGACAAGCACAACCUGAGUUCUGCAGAUAUUUUACAACUUCUCUGAACAUGCGUCCACCGACUUGCUCGGUGCCGUCCACAACUUCAUUGUGUGCGAGCUUCUAUUCCAGAUCCUCUUCCUCCAUGGUCCCUGCCCAACGCGACGACCAGGUCUGCAACCAAAACUGAAGCAUAGUGUUUUUCGAACCAAACUGAAGCAACGCAAACAAGAAGUACAGAAACUUGGGUUGAUGUACCUUGUCCUGAAGCUCCUAUACCCACUUCUUUGCCUGGAUGUAGGAAUCUGAUAGAAAAAACAAGAUCUCGGGUGAAGUCCUCCGACAGGCAUUGAUGCUUCCCCACCGCCACUCUGCCUCCUCCCAGAUGGGGCUAUGACGCCACCGCGUACAGGCAGUUCAUCACCGCCACCCCAGUCCGUUCAAUGCCGCCGCGUACAUGCACUUUAGCGGCAAACACUGGAGCCCGCAGGAGGAGCCGCGGGGUCAAGGACCUCCCUGUCGGCAGUCCAACUGCUAGCUCCGUUGCCAGUCAAUCAAGGAGCUCAAUACAGGCCACCCCGUGCUCUACCCUGGAUCCUGCUGUCUCAUGCGUCACUGCCUCUCCCUCUGAUCGAGCUCGCAUCAUUUCUGUACCUUACAUUCCCUAUUGGCAAGUGCUGAGGGACUUUAGUUCUGGACCCUUUUUCUGAGCUUACUGUUCUAAUUGCGUUACCUUAUUCUCCCAUCAGUCUUAUGAUUUAGACUAAAUUUCAGCCAUGAUUUAGACUUUCUUUUGGCAAUAAAUAAGUUC
rnacentral:rRNA from 1 species